UACACGCUCCUUAGAUCCACCUCUGGAGGGCACUGUUCUCUGAACAGCGGCCCUCAGCAGCUUGCUGGCUGUACAGUUGGAGGUGCUUGAGUCAUUGGCGUGUUAAAGCAGUCUACCUGUUCCCCGGCUCACCUGCACCACUGGCAACCCUGUCCAAUACUGACAGGGAUUCAUCCAGUGUUGCUAGCCAGGGGGACGGACAUC